rnacentral:lncRNA from 10 species
GAAGUACAUUGGUUCGGACUGGAAAGGAGGGGCAACUUCAAGCAAAGUCAGGAAGACUUGAAGACUUGAAGUAGGGAGGGGCUUCCAGGUCACAGAUAAGGGAGACACAAACGGUUGCAUUCUUUUGAGUUUCUGAUUAGUCUUUCCAAAGGAGGCAAAUCAGAAAUGCAUCGAUCUCAGUGAGCAGAAAGAUAACUUUGAAUAGAAUGGGAGGCAGGUUUGCCCUAAGCAGUUUUCAGCUUGAGUUUUCAGUAGUGAUUUUGUGGGCCCAGAAUACUUUCCUUUCACAAUGGUGACAGUGAUGAUGAUGGAGAUGACGGUGACGGUGAUGGCGAUAAUGAUGACGAUGGUGACAGUGAUGAUGAUGGUGAUGACGGUGACGGUGAUGGUGAUGGUGAUGAUGGUGACAAUGAAGGCGAUAAUGAUGACGAUGGUGACGUGAUGAGGAUGGUGAUGAUGGUGACAAUGAUGGUGAUAAUGAUGAUGAUGAUGGCGAUAAUGAUGAUGAUGGUGACAGUGAUGAUGAUGAAGGCCAAGGGGAAGCAGAAAAAGAGACAGAUUGAAGUGACUCUUAGAUGAGGCCUAUAGAAACAAGGGCACUGUUAGAAUGUUAUACAUGAAAAACAAGAGUAUGAGGGCUAUCAGGGACGACUCCAAAGUUUCCAGUUUGGGCAAAUGGGGAGAAAGAAUAUCAGAGGAGAAGUAGGCUUUGGGGGUAGGUGAUAAGCCUAAUUCUGGAUGUGUUGGGUUUGGGGCACUCAUAGAAUGUUUAAGUGGAGACUUCACGUCCCACGCCUUCACACUCAUCCCCUCAUGGAGUUGCUCAAAGUGAUGUAAUGUUGCUAGUGAGAAUGAUGAGAGGAAAGAGUAGGAGAAAAUAAUGGUGAGGUUUAUUUGACUUUGACCACCUAGGAGCUAGCCUUGAGAGCUACUCACUUAUCCCUGUAGCUGUACUUUGCUCUACAGAGUUUGUUGACAUCAAAAUUUUUGCUUCUAGGAAUGGGACUGAGGGAGACAUAGAGCUCCCUAAUGCUGAAUCUCUUCCCUGUGCUGAAGAAAACUCCAGACCUCCCAGCCACUGGAACUAAAAUUGGCAUCCAGAGGUCCGGCCUUCAGAUGAAACGAUCUUCAAGCAAGCAGACACAGCUUGCGCUCCCUCAGGACUGACCAGAGGCUGUGCUUUGGGGAACUCGGACCACUGCGAAAAAUCUGAGAAGUGAUGAUCGUUCCAGGACUGAUCUGACCACCCGGGGCGUCCAGCAUGAUUGGUCGGGGUCCUGCCCGCACCCUCUCACCCCUCCACGCAGAGGCACGGUGGGAGAGGCCCCUGCCCACCCCGGAUGAGCCUGAGACUCCAGCCUGAAAUGAAGUUGCUGAAAUGAGCCCUUUCCCCAGCCGUUCAGCAGCCUAGCUGUUUUACCACUGAAAUAAAGUGUCCAAUUUAUCCUGCCAUUUUGAGGAAGCUGUUUUCAGCUGAGACUCCAGCUGGAUUUAUUUUUAAAAAAGAUUAUUCUGCAGACCAUGGCCAGAACGUGCUGAGAGGCACCCUGGGCAGUUUUCCCUCUGGCCGGCUCUUAUCCGUCCUCCCCAGCAUGGGGAGAUGAGGCUGCCUCAGGCGGCCCAGGCCAGGCAGCUGCCAGGGAGGCUGAGCAGGUCUGGGAUGUGCCAGGCAGCUCUAUGCCCAGCUCAGCUGGGAACCUGACCCGGAAAGGGCUGGAACCCAAGCCUCACCCUCUCCUGCUCUAUUCACUGUGGUCAAGGGAGGAAAGAGACCUGGCGGCUGGGCUUGCAGACAGGCUUCUUGCCCCCAUUCCUCUUCUCAGUUCUCGUGUAUGCCUGGUGGGGUGUUGACAGGCCCCACUGUGGCUGUGCUGUUUGGCAGACUGCCCUGAGUCUCCCCAGUGCCCAUCUCCCUGUAGUCCACGCUGCCCUGGCCUUCCUUGGCCUCCUGAUGGCCCCUGAGUUUACUGGAGUCAAAGGGCCAACCUGCGGACUCAGCACCCUUUCUGCUCCAGGUCUGAGGUUUCUGCUGUGAGUGGUGGCACGCGUCACACCAGUUCUUAAAUAUCUUGAAUAUGACCCUGCUGGGAGCUGCCCUUGUUCUAAGACUGGGGAUGGGGGCAGAGGAGGCAGGAAGGGGAUGGAGCUGCUUGUGGUGGAGAAUGGAGUCCCCGACCUUCUCUCGAGGCCAGCAUCAGCAGACUUCUCCUGGAAAGGGUCAGAGAGCAAAUAUUUCAGACUUUGUGGGCCAUAUGGUAUCUCUCACAACUACUAAAUGCAGGCAUUGUAGCAAACCUUCCAUAGACAGUCGCUAAAAGCGUGGGCUUGGCUCUGUUCAUUGUGGCCUUGUGUUCCCAUAACACUUUCUUUACAGACGCGGGUGGUAGGCUGGAUUUGGUCCCAGGUUCCUGCCCACACCAGCCCCAACAUGGUGCAUGCUGCAGGAAGGCCAAGGAGGGGGCCCUCCCAGUGUGACAAGUGCACAGGCUGUGAGGAGCAUGAGGAUGGCUGAUGCCGCUCUCUGGGAGUGGGAGAAACCUGCUUUUCUGCAUCCUAGCUUGUGACUUGUCACGUGCCCAUAAUGGGACACUCUGCCUGCCUCUCGCCAUGGCCCCCCGCUGGCCACCUCCUUAGAGUUCACAGUCCAGAAAUACGAGGAGCCCGUGGUGGGAGGGGUCCUCACUGCCUCUUUCUCCUGCUUUGUCUGCUUCCCACCCAUGAAACCCUCUCCCUAUUCACACCCAUUGACUGGCUUCUUUAAAUUAGAGGAAAUUUAAUUCCAUACAACAUGCAUGUAUCAGAUAUCUACCUUGUGUUAUGCAGUGAGCUGUGCAUUGGGGGUACAGCCAGGAAACAAAACUGUAGUAACAGCAGCAAGGUCAAGACAGUAGUGAAGUCACUGCUGAAGGCACAGCACUGGCUGGGGAGCUGGGGCCAAGCAGGUGGGCCUGGUUGCUAGAGGGUGGGUCUAGCCCCUUCCUGCUGAUCUUCCAGCAAACUGGGCUUCCGCUCCAUUCAGAGCAAAAUAAGGCAUCCGCACGUGGCUCAGUGUGGCCCUGGCCCCCGCUGGGGCACCCUCUGUGCUGUCCCUUACCCCGCAGAGGUGUGUCUGGUGGAGCUUUUCCACUUUCAAUGGCUUUCACACACCGUGGUGCUCUUGGGCCUGUUACUGGCCCAGCCAUGUCACCUACCAGCAAUGCAGCCUUGGAAAUGCGAAGUCAGCUCUCUAAGUCUUGGUUUCUUCACCUGCAGGUGGGGAUCAUCGUUCCUGUUUUGUAGCGUUGCUCUAGGAUGAAAUGAAGUCAUGAGUGUGGAGCUCUUAUGUGGUAUGGAGCUUUCCUGCCACGUGGCAAUCACUCAAUCUGGGGAAAUGGCCAUUGCUGUAGGCUGAACGUUGGUGUCCCCCCAAAUUCCUAUGUUAAAACUAAUGCCCAAAGUGGUGGUCUUAGAAGGUGGGGCCUUUCGGAAUGAUGAGGCAUGAGGCACAGCCCUCAUGGGUGGGAUGAGUGUCCUUAUGAAAGAGGCCUGAGAGAGCCCUCGUGCCCUUUCUACCACCUGAGGACACAGCGAGAAGACGGCUGCUUGUGAAUCGGGACGUGGGCCUGCACCAGACACUGAAUAUACCAGUGCCUUGAUCUCGGACUCCCCAGCCUCC